CAGAACAGAAAACAGAAAACGCAAAAAAGAAAAUGAAAAUGAAAAACAGUGUCUUAAAAUGAGGACAUCGAUGUCCAUGUGGAUAACAAGAAAUUGUUCAGUUGGUGGCGGUAGUGCACCAAAAGUUGGCUUGCCCACCGCCAAUAAACGUCACAAGAAGAAGAAGAAGAAGAAGAAGAAGCCUGGGAUGCGUCACGUCCGGAUCCUCCCCUUUUUCUGUUGCUACAGUGGUUACAAGUAUGUGCUGUUAGCACGUAGCGUUGUGCUAAUCUCUUUUUAUUACUGCUCGUUGCACCAAUGGCUCGUUUGUUGUACCCCAGCCUGUCUUUUUCAUCGGUUUGUAUGUGUUCCCAUCGGAUGCUGUAUUGGAUUUGAUUACUGCCCUCCUUUCAGAUGUCUUACAACAAGUGAAGCCUGAGAAAAAGGAGGCCUCAAAGUUUGUGUUUGCUGUUUCUGCAAAACUGCCUCCGUUUGUGCUCCUGAUCAGCUUGUGGUCUUUGCUCAUGGUGGAAAUCCCUGAGUUCGUCAGAGUAUCAAUUUAAUGAAUAAGGACAUACUUUUUGCAUUAGAAGAGUAGCUUCAAUCCUUGAAAAGCUUCAAGUCCUGAACAGUGAACUGUGGUAGUGUUUCAGUCUGUAGUACUGUGUUUCUGUCCUCGAUGGUGAGUUUCCAUGUGUAUUUACUUCCAUUUUACAGAUGCAGGUUGCAUUUAUGUUGUCACAGUUUUCCAGGCUCUUUUUCCAACGACUAAAAUGCAUGUUUGAGCUGUUUUAACUGAAAGUAAUUUGCACUGACAUCUUAAAAUUUGUCUGUGCUAUUGUUUUGUUUCAAGAUGAACGCCAAUAAUGUAUUUUUUUUACUACUUAACCCCUUUCACAGACAAGGCUUAAACCUAGUCCCAGACUAAAAUGCAUGUUUGAGCUGUUUUAACUGAAAACAUAUCUUAAAAUAUGUCACUACUGGUGUUUAUCUUGAGACAAAACAAUGGCAAUGAUUGUUUUUUCUAAGGCAUGUCUAUAAAAGCUACUUAAAUAAUUGAACUAAGGUCUGAUCCUGGCUUAGGCUAAGCCCUGUCUGUGAAACCAGGGGCCUGUACCAUGAUGAUAGUUGAACAAACUCAGGGUUAUAGGAUUAAUUUCAAGUUGACAAAACCAAACCACUCCAAUCCGGCUUUGUUGGUACCAUGAUGCUGAUCAUCAACUUUCUCUGUCAACUCAGGCUUUGAUCCUGAGUUUGUGGAGCGCGUGCACGUGAAUGCGUGACAUCAGUGGCAAACAGCCAAUCACAUGCCUUGCAGCAGAAAGAAACCGUGAUUUACUUCUCGCGAGAGAGUCAACACGAUUCAAAACUCUUUUGCUGAAGAAAAUGAAGAAUUUAAAUGCAUUUACACUAAAGAAGAAACUUGUCCAUGAAAAAGGACAAAUAAAAGAAAUUAUCUUGCUCUAUCAGAGCAAGUGAAAAUUGUCAAGUGUUUAUAUAGUUUAUUAUAUACAGCAAUAGAGACUCAAACAUGUAACGUUAUGUAGUCAUUUUUAAAGAGUUAUCUGUUGAUUCUACAUUCUGUAUAAAUAUUUAUUUAAAAUAAAUGCUUAAUAAUAACUGUUAAACUAAAAUUGCUUGUGUGAAAUGGAUUAAUAAUAUAGAUCAUAUAAUAAUUAUUUAAAUCAUAUAUAAGUCAUAAAAUAAUUCUAUAAAUCAUUAAAGCAAGACAAUUUCAUCGUUAAAUAUUUGUUUUUAUUAUAUAGUGAUCUUUAAUUUGGAGGAAGAGAAACUGGGGGAGGGACUUUAUUGCGUUGGAUGUGUCAGUGUCACUUUGCUCACAUCUGAUUGGUCCAAUUUUGGUUUGAGAUCUUUUACCCAGAACAUAACCUGCCCCGGAGCAGGUUAGCUGUGGAGCGUAAGUUACUAUGGUGAUGAACACCGCUAAAAGCCAAGUCACUUUCAUGGUUCCUAAAACCCAGGAUUGGCACAAACUAAUCUGAAACUUAGCUGGCUAGCCAGCUAAUCCAGCUUCAUGGUACAGGCCCCAGGUCUAUUUGUUUGUCACCAUGAAAUGCCAUUUUUCCAGCCACUUGUUUUUCCUGAAUGUGAUGUUAAUUCCUGUUCAAACAGUGUGUGGUUAUAAAUAAAUACAUUUGUAUGUAAACUGAAGGAAGUUGUGAAUUGUUCAUUAAAACCAUAUUAACUCCA